UACGGAGGGGACUAGCGUUGUUCGGAAUUACUGGGCGUAAAGCGCACGUAGGCGGAUUUGUAAGUCAGGGGUGAAAUCCCGGGGCUCAACCUCGGAACUGCCUUUGAUACUGCAAAUCUCGAGUCCGGAAGAGGUGAGUGGAAUUCCUAGUGUAGAGGUGAAAUUCGUAGAUAUCAGGAGGAACACCGGUGGCGAAGGCGGGUCUCUGGGCCGAUACUGACGCUGAGGAGCGAAAGCGUGGGGAGCGAACAGG
rnacentral:rRNA from 1 species